rnacentral:rRNA from 1 species
GAUGAACGCUGGCGGCGUGCCUAAUACAUGCAAGUCGAGCGAACGGACGAGAAGCUUGCUUCUCUGAUGUUAGCGGCGGACGGGUGAGUAACACGUGGAUAACCAACCUAUAAGACUGGGAUAACUUCGGGAAACCGUAGCUAAUACCGGAUAAUAUUUUGAACCGCAUGGUUCAAAAGUGAAAGACGGUCUUGCUGUCACUUAUAGAUGGAUCCGCGCUGCAUUAGCUAGUUGGUAAGGUAACGGCUUACCAAGGCAACGAUGCAUAGCCGACCUGAGAGGGUGAUCGGCCACACUGGAACUGAGACACGGUCCAGACUCCUACGGGAGGCAGCAGUAGGGAAUCUUCCGCAAUGGGCGAAAGCCUGACGGAGCAACGCCGCGUGAGUGAUGAAGGUCUUCGGAUCGUAAAACUCUGUUAUUAGGGAAGAACAUAUGUGUAAGUAACUGUGCACAUCUUGACGGUACCUAAUCAGAAAGCCACGGCUAACUACGUG